rnacentral:rRNA from 1 species
UACGAACCGUGCGAACGUUGUUCGGAAUCACUGGGCGUAAAGCGCGCGCAGGCGGUCUUCUACGUCUGGGGUGAAAACCCGGGGCUCAACCCCGGGACUGCCUUGGAUACGGGAAGACUUGAGGAUCGGAGAGGCAAGGGGAAUUCCACGUGUAGCGGUGAAAUGCGUAGAGAUGUGGAGGAACACCUGUGGCGAAGGCGCCUUGCUGGCCGAUUUCUGACGCUGAGGCGCGAAAGCGUGGGGAGCAAACAGG